UACGGAGGGAGCUAGCGUUGUUCGGAUAUACUGGGCGUAAAGCGCACGUAGGCGGCGCCGUAAGUCAGGGGUGAAAUCCCGGAGCUCAACUCCGGAACUGCCCUUGAAACUGCAGUGCUAGAAUCCUGGAGAGGCGAGUGGAAUUCCGAGUGUAGAGGUGAAAUUCGUAGAUAUCGAGAGGAACACCGGUGGCGAAGGCGGCUUUCUGGACGGCGACUGACGCUGAGACGCGAAAGCGUGGGGAGCAAACAGG
rnacentral:rRNA from 1 species